UCCUAAAACACUAAUUCUUCUUGACAUUACUAAUCAAUUUAAGAUGACAACUUGGUUCCCAUUCAUAGAAAUUGGGUUACUUUUACAGUUUUACCUAUCUGAGCUGUCAGAAAUUAAAUGGUGGAGAGAUACUCACUUUAUAAUUUUUAAUUGUGGCAAUGAAAUCUUAAUGUUAAAUAGGAGUUCAGAUCCACUCCAUUUUCUUAUCCUCCUUUUCCUCCAGUUUGUCAACCGAUGAAUGACACGUGGCAGUUAAAUUUUUCAACGGAUGAGAUUAAACACACCAAAUAUUGAUUGUCACAGAGAAACAACAACCGUCAUCUCUUAUUCGAGUUGAGAUCAGCUCCAUUGGCUUAUCCUCCUUUUCCUCCAGUGCUUUACUAGAUGUCUGCCACGUGGCAAGUAGUGAUAUUAACAGUCCAGAUUUUAUUUGCAAUAGAGAGAGAAACGGAUUUAGUGCUUCUAUGGUUACUCUUCA
rnacentral:lncRNA from 1 species